CCUACGGGUGGCAGCAGUGGGGAAUAUUGGACAAUGGGGGGAACCCUGAUCCUGCCAUGCCGCGUGUGUGAAGAAGGCCCUCGGGUUGUAAAGCACUUUCAGUGAGGAAGAACGCCUGGUGGUUAAUACCCAUCAGGAAAGACAUCACUCACAGAAGAAGCACCGGCUAACUCCGUGCCAGCAGCCGCGGUAAUACGGAGGGUGCGAGCGUUAAUCGGAAUUACUGGGCGUAAAGCGCGCGUAGGUGGCUUGAUAAGCCGGUUGUGAAAGCCCCGGGCUCAACCUGGGAACGGCAUCCGGAACUGUCAAGCUAGAGUGCAGGAGAGGAAGGUAGAAUUCCCGGUGUAGCGGUGAAAUGCGUAGAGAUCGGGAGGAAUACCAGUGGCGAAGGCGGCCUUCUGGACUGACACUGACACUGAGGUGCGAAAGCGUGGGUAGCAAACAGGAUUAGAUACCCUAGUAGUC
rnacentral:rRNA from 1 species